rnacentral:other from 12 species
UGCAGGCUUCAGGACCCCCAGUCCCGGGAGAGCCAUAGUGGUCUGCGGAACCGGUGAGUACACCGGAAUCGCCAGGACGACCGGGUCCUUUCUUGGAUCAACCCGCUCAAUGCCUGGAGAUUUGGGCGUGCCCCCGCGAGACUGCUAGCCGAGUAGUGUUGGGUCGCGAAAGGCCUUGUGG